CAAUCUUGUGCUGGACAGCUGCUGGGCCACGCCCUUCAACCAGACUGACUAUUCCGUCCGCUGGGACCUGAUCAGUAACGAGUGUCCGAACCCCAAUGAUGGCACGGUGGCGGUGUUGCAGAACGGUGUCUCCACAACCAGCUACUUCUCCUUCAGGAUGUUCACAUUCACCGGCUUCUCCAACAAGAUCUACCUGCACUGCCAGGUCCAUCUCUGUCUGCUAGAGACAGGCAACUGUGCACAGACGUGCACUGGAGGUCUUUACAGAAGACGCCGAGCUGUAGAUUUCUACGAUUCAGCUGCCAUUUCCAUGGAAUUCUGAUUUGUUUGCUUUAAACUUUCUAUCAUUUUAUUUUCAUUUUUGUUUUAUCUUUAAUCAUUAAGUAUUGCUUUGCUUUAAACAUAAAUGCAAACUAUUAAAAUUCAGCUUUUUAAAAUUCAUAACAUCUUGUAAGUGAUUAUACUCAUCUGUGCUGCCUUAAUCAGUCAUAAUAAAUCUUUCAAGCAUUUUA